UCUGAACUGUGAAAGGGAUAUCUCUGCUUUCUCUUCACCGUUUGCAAAACUUGGAAAAACUUGGUGUCUCUAAAUAAUGGUGUGCAAAAAAGGAACAAAAAGAAGGGUGAAUUCAUUUUCCCAUGAGAAAUCUAUCAAUGGCUACUAGUCUUAUGGCUAAAGGCUACCUCCAUGUCCAGAGGCAGGGUGCCUCCAGAUAUUGGUACAGAGGAGCAGUGGCAGGAGGGAAAGCAUGCCUUCAUCUCUUGGUUGUGUGGCUUCCCAGGGCAGCCUGCUGUGUGAAAUAAGGUGCUGAACUAGAUAGGUCUGAACUAGAACUAGGUCUGAUUGAGCAAAAUUGUUCUUAUGCUCUUUGCUGUGAGGACUCUGUGAGGGCCACAGUUAUUCCUAUGGUAUAUCUUCAUAAUCUCAGGCAACUGGUUCAGAACAUUUUUUAUAAUUUUUGCCUGGCAACUCCAGAUGUUGAAGAAGUACGAGAUCUGGAAUGAUAUAUAUCCCAUUGGUGGCAAAGACCAAAAGGCCAUCAAGCAAGCAAUAAGAGAUUCCAGUGGAGAGAGGAACAACAGGAACCCACCAGGAUAAUUGGCAUUAAGAAUAGAACCAGCUUGAUGACACAUAUUGACUCUUCUUAGCUAUCUGAAGUAUUUACAAUCAGUCAAGCACCCGGCUAUGACUCAGCUGUUCCAGGAAUUGAUAACAUCAAGUCUUCAAAAUGUUGAUUCUUUUUUUAAGUUUGCAUCUUCCAGAUAAAAUGUAUAGAGGUGAGUGUAUGUAUAAUAUACAAAUCUCAAGUAUUCAGAAAUGCCAGGCUUACAUUACAACCCUGUGCAUGUUACCUUGGAACUAAACUUCUCUGUGUUCAAUGGGCUUUAUGUUUUAUAGCUGCUUCCCUCCUACAUAAAGAAAUCUUAUGUAGAUUUAACUAGCAACAACACAAUUUUUCCUUCUCCUUUCCCU